CCUACGGGAGGCAGCAGUCGGGAAUAUUGCGCAAUGGAGGAAACUCUGACGCAGUGACGCCGCGUGCAGGAAGAAGGUUUUCGGAUUGUAAACUGCUUUAGACAGGGAAGAAAAAAGACAUUACCUGUAGAAUAAGCUCCGGCUAACUACGUGCCAGCAGCCGCGGUAAAACGUAGGGAGCAAGCGUUAUCCGGAUUUAUUGGGUGUAAAGGGUGCGUAGACGGAGAAGCAAGUUAGUUGUGAAAUCCCUGGGCUUAACUGAGGAAAUGCAAGUAAAACUACUUCCCUUGAGGACUGGAGAGGAAAGUGGAAUUCCUAGUGGAGCGGUGAAAUGCGUAGAUAUUAGGAGGAACACCAGUGGCGAAGGCGACUUUCUGGACAGUAACUGACGUUGAGGCACGAAAGUGUGGGGAGCAAACAGGAUUAGAUACCCCAGUAGUC
rnacentral:rRNA from 1 species